CAAUAUGGCGUACUUCACGUGUUGAGAUCUCUUCAAAUCCUUGAAACUCUUCGCAUAAUCUUGGUAUAUAAAUCUUCGUAUGAGCAGAACGACUUGAGUGAAAAAUCUCCGUUUAAUUAUCGUAAAAUGAAGGGCUAAUAAUUGGUCGGCUUUGAAGAAAACUACUA